CAGGAUGAACGCUGGCGGUAUGCCUAACACAUGCAAGUCGAACGAAGCCCUUCGGGUUAGUGGCGGACGGGUGAGUAACGCGUGAGAAUCUGCCCCAAGGAGGGGGAUAACGGCUGGAAACGGCCGCUAAUACCCCAUAUGCCGAGAGGUGAAAUGAAUUUUCGCCUGGGGAUGAGCUCGCGUCUGAUUAGCUAGUUGGUGGGGUAAGAGCCUACCAAGGCAUCGAUCAGUAGCUGGUCUGAGAGGAUGAUCAGCCACACUGGGACUGAGACACGGCCCAGACUCCUACGGGAGGCAGCAGUGGGGAAUUUUCCGCAAUGGGCGAAAGCCUGACGGAGCAACGCCGCGUGAGGGAUGAAGGCCUCUGGGCUGUAAACCUCUUUUAUCAAGGAAGAAGAUCUGACGGUACUUGAUGAAUAAGCCACGGCUAAUUCCGUGCCAGCAGCCGCGGUAAUACGGGAGUGGCAAGCGUUAUCCGGAAUUAUUGGGCGUAAAGCGUCCGCAGGCGGUCUUGUAAGUCUGUCGUUAAAGCGUGGAGCUUAACUCCAUUUAAGCGAUGGAAACUGCAAGACUAGAGUGUGGUAGGGGCAGAGGGAAUUCCCGGUGUAGCGGUGAAAUGCGUUGAUAUCUAGGGGAACGCCAGUGGUGAAAACGGGUCGCUGGGCCUGUCCUGACGCUGAGACGCGAAAGCGUGGGGAGCGAACGGGAUUAGAUACCCCGGUAGUCCACGCCGUAAACGAUGCGCACUGGGUUUGUUGACCUCUGACGGUUUGCGAGCCGAAACAAAAGUGGUAAGUGCGCCGCCUGGGGAGUACGGCCGCAAGGCUAAAACUCAAAGGAAUUGGCGGGGGCUCACACAAGCGGUGGAGCAUGUUGCUUAAUUCGAUGCAACGCGAAGAACCUUACCUGGGUUUGACAUGUAUGGAUGCCCUCUAAGAAACUAGAGUAAGCUGUCUUCGGAUGAAACAUACACAGGUGCUGCAUGGCUGUCGUCAGCUCGUGCUGUGAAGUGUUGGGUUAAGUCCCUUAACGAGCGAAACCCCUGUCGCUAGUUGCCAGCGGUUCGGCCGGGAACUCUAGCGAGACUGCCGGCGUUAAGCCGGAGGAAGGUGGGGACGACGUCAAGUCCUCAUGGCCUUUAUGCCCAGGGUGUCACACGUGCUACAAUGGCCGUUACAGAGCGACGCGAUACCGCGAGGUGGAGCAAAUCGCAAAAAAGCGGCCUCAGUUCGGAUUGGAGUCUGCAAUUCGACUCCAUGAAGUUGGAAUCGCUAGUAAUCGCGUAUCAGCCAUGACGCGGUGAAUGUGUUCCUGAGCCUUGUACACACCGCCCGUCAAGUCAUGGAAGCUGGGAGUACCCGAAGUCCGCAC
rnacentral:rRNA from 1 species